rnacentral:rRNA from 1 species
AGGGUUUGAUCAUGGCUCAGGAUGAACGCUGGCGGUAUGCUUUAUACAUGCAAGUUGUACGAAAGUUUUUAACUCAAGUGGCGGACGGGUGAGUAACACGUAAGAAUUUACCUUUAGGAGGGGGAUAACAACUGGAAACGGUUGCUAAUACCCCAUAUGCUUUAGAGUGAAAUGGAUUUUCCGCCUAAAGAGAAGCUUGCGGCUGAUUAGCUUGUUGGUAAGGUAAUGGCUUACCAAGGCGACGAUCAGUAUCUGGUUUGAGAGGACGAUCAGACACACUGGAACUGAGACACGGUCCAGACUCCUACGGGAGGCAGCAGUAGGGAAUUUUCCGCAAUGGGCGAAAGCCUGACGGAGCAAUACCGCGUGAGGGAUGACUGCCUAUGGGUUGUAAACCUCUUUUUUCAGGGAGGAAUUUUGACGUGUACCUGAAGAAUAAGCAUCGGCUAACUCCGUGCCAGCAGCCGCGGUAAGACGGAGGAUGCAAGUGUUAUCCGGAAUCACUGGGCGUAAAGCGUCUGUAGGUGGUCUAAUAAGUCAACUGUUAAAUCUUGAGGCUCAACCUCAAAACCGCAGUCGAAACUAUUAGGCUAGAGUAUAGUAGAGGUAAAGGGAAUUUCCAGUGGAGCGGUGAAAUGCGUAGAGAUUGGAAAGAACACCAAUGGCGAAGGCACUUUACUGGGCUACUGCUGACACUCAGAGACGAAAGCUAGGGUAGCAAAUGGGAUUAGAUACCCCGGUAGUCCUAGCUGUAAACAAUGGAUACUAGGUGUUGAACAGAUCGAACUGUGCAGUACUAAAGCUAACGCGUUAAGUAUCCCGCCUGGGAAGUAUGCACGCAAGUGUGAAACUCAAAGGAAUUGACGGGGGCCCGCACAA